AACGAACGCUGGCGGCAUGCCUAACACAUGCAAGUCGAACGAGACCUUCGGGUCUAGUGGCGCACGGGUGCGUAACGCGUUGGAACCUGCCCUUAGGUUCGGAAUAACUCCCCGAAAGGGGUGCUAAUACCGGAUAAUGUCUUCGGACCAAAGAUUUAUCGCCUUUGGAUGGGCCCGCGUUGGAUUAGCUAGUUGGUAGGGUAAAAGCCUACCAAGGCGACGAUCCAUAGCUGGUCUGAGAGGAUGAUCAGCCACACUGGGACUGAGACACGGACCAGACUCGUACGGGAGGCAGCAGUGGGGAAUAUUGGACAAUGGGCGAAAGCCUGAUCCAGCAAUGCCGCGUGAGUGAUGAAGGCCUUAGGGUUGUAAAGCUAUUUUACCCGGGAUGAUAAUGACAGUACCGGGAGAAUAAGCUCCGGCUAACUCCGUG
rnacentral:rRNA from 1 species